UAGAGACCAGCCACCGGCGUCCAUGGCCUCACAGUCGCCGAAAAUGGUAACAAGAUUGCCGGAGUUUUAAAUUUUCAGCCAAAGAUCUUCAAAAUAUUAACUUCAUAUUCACAGAAACUAUAAGAAAAAAUCAGAGAAAGAAGACAAGGUCAUGAGAGUCGUGGUUGGCGGAGUUGCUUCUUCAACGGCGAGGACACCGGGGCAACUUCCGGCCGACCUCCUGUGGGAGAAUCGUUUUCCCUUUCUUUUCUCUUUUUUUUAGAUCUUGAAGGUAAAUCAAAAUACAUAUGAAAGAAGUAACUAUGAUACACCGGAAAUCAAAAUACAUCUGGCUAUUCUGUUGACAGUGGUAACAACCAUGGGUUGCUAGCGUGAGAGAGAAGAAGAGAGAUAGUAAGGAAGAUGGGGAUGGGAGGCGACUGCUAUCCCUCCUCUCAAAAAUGAGAGAUGUAAAAAUGUGAUUGGGAACUCGAGAUUUGCCAGAGAAGUUCACCGACGAAGAGCAAAAUAGAGUUAUUCGGCUUGAAGAAUCCGAUUUUCCUCGGUGGUACCACUUUUAGGUUUUUUCAGUUGCUAGCAAUUGUUAUUGUUUUUAGACUAUGACUUGUAUGGGUUAAUUUGUGGCUACCGGAUGAUAUAUGUUUGGCCGAUGAGAUAUAAAUGAAUUUCUCUCGUAAUGUUUUACAUUUCCUCCCAAAUUAAUGUUUACCUUGCAUUACUUUUUCAUUGAGAAUAUGAAUAGCAAGAAACUGAAAAACUGGCAAGUAGCAAGAUGUUGUACCUAAUCGCAUACUAAUAAUGGUAAUCCAACAAUAUGCAAACAAAUUUUUGGGGCUACACUAAAUAUUGUAUAGGUAUCCAACGGACAUUUAUAACCACAUAUGGAUGACCUUUUUUCUUCCAUUUUGAUCCAGAUGAGCGUCAUGGUUCUUGAUUAGGAGCUGUGUCCUGUGGUGGGAAUUCUUCAGCAUAUGAAAAGAGGAAGUUACAGGGUACAAUUGAGUAUGAGAUUUUAUUUUCAGAUUGAACUUUCCCUAGCUAAGACAAACAAUGUCAGGCCACAAGACUUUCAGCAAAGUUCAAAUAGAGUCAAAAACUCAGUGGGAUUUACACAAACGCUGAAAAUGACUUAACAUUUUCA
rnacentral:lncRNA from 1 species